UACGUAGGGUGCAAGCGUUAAUCGGAAUUACUGGGCGUAAAGCGCACGUAGGCGGGUUUGUAAGUAGGGGGUGAAAUCCCAGAGCUCAACUCUGGAACUGCCUUCUAAACUGCAAGCCUGGAGGUCAGGAGAGGCGAGUGGAAUACCGAGUGUAGAGGUGAAAUUCGUAGAUAUUCGGUGGAACACCAGUGGCGAAGGCGACUCGCUGGACUGAUACUGACGCUGAGGUGCGAAAGCGUGGGGAGCAAACAGG
rnacentral:rRNA from 1 species